AAGUUUCAAAUAUUUUUUUAUAAUAUAUUUUUUUUAUAAGUUAACCCUGCUUUAUCCCUGAGCUCCUUGGUCUCCAUGACCCUAUUUACUAAUUAUGUGACUUGUAAAGGCAAUUGGUCAUGUCAGGGAGGCGAGUGUAGGCAGGACUCAAACGCAGAGCUUCGAAACAAAGAAGACUUUAAUAGUCAAUUUCCAAAAGCAAAAGGCCAAGGGACAAAACCGCAGACAGGAACCAGAAAUACUAUGACAUGGACUUCUAGAUAUUCAACAACGACGCGACAAGAGACACACAUGGCUUAAAUACACUAGGGAGGUGCAGGUGAUUGGACACAGGUGGAAACUAUUAGACGAUCACAGGGGAUGACGGGACAAGGCAGGAAGUGAAGUUACCCGGGGACUCGAGUGGCAGAAAACUACAAAAUACAACAGGAAGUGAACCACACCGUGACAGUACCCCUCCCUUAAGGGCCGAAUUCCAGACGGCUCACACUAGAGCGAACAAGGGGUGGGGGGGAGGAAAACCCGAGACGUUGGUCGGACCACCCGGGAAACUCUGGCGGGCGACCGGGGAGCCUCUGGGGGUCGGCCUGGCGGAUCCGGCUCGGGGACACGGAACACCUCCGCAGUCGGCGACUCCGGCUCGGGGACACGGAACACCUCCGCAGUCGGCUCGGGGACACUGAACACCUCCGCAGUCUGCGGCGGCUCGGGGACACUGAACACCUCCGCAGUCGGCGGCGGCUCGGGGACACGGAACACCUCCGCAGUCGGCGGCUCACCCCCCCCUCAAGGGCCGGAUCCCAGACGGCCCUCAAAUCACCAACGGGAGGGUGGGAGAGGACCAUGGGAUGGGAGGGAGGGAGGCUGAGUCUCGGAGCGGGGACUGGGGCAUAGAGUCUCGGAGCGGGGACUGGCCGAGUCGGGGCCGGGGCUGAGAGUCUCGGAGCGGGGACUGGCCGAGUCGGGGCCGGGGCUGAGAGUCUCGGAGCGGGGACUGGCCGAGUCGGGGAACGGGAGAUCGCUGCGGCGGCCCAGCGGGAACGGGAGAUCGAUGCGGCUGCCCAGCGGGAAGUCGGUUAUUCCUCUGGCCAGGGCUCCUCUUGGGAUUUAGCAGAUCCCGGAGCUCGAGGCAGGCGAGCUGAUAGCCCCUGGGACCAAAGAUGAAGUUUGUUUUCCGCUGCCAGAAGUGACUUCUUACGUCCAGGUAAUCAGGUCCGUAAUCUGGCAACGGGUCUGCUGAGCCCUUCUUUGGUCGCGUCAUUCUGUCAGGGAUUGCGAGAGGUAGGCAGGACUCAAACGCAGACCUCUCAGGAAAACAAAAGACUUUAUUAGUCAAAAGGCCGAAAAACACAGGAACCAGGGGAAGAACAGCAGGCAUGAAACUACGGCCAUCCACGACGAUAGACAAUGACAACGGAGGUGCAGGUGAUUGGACACAGGGGAUGACGGGACAAGGCAGGAAGUGAAGUUACCCGGGGACACGAGUGGCAGAAAACUACAAAAUACAACAGGAAGUGAACCACACCGUGACAGAACUUGAAGAAAAGUGAAGCCCUCUCUGGCUUCCCAGUUCUUCCCCAGAACUUAGUGUGGAGGAAGGAUGGUUUCAGGUACCUGGGAAUGCAUCUCGGACGUGGCCAGCUGUAUUUAAAGUUUUAAAGUUAAAUGGGCUGCCUCCGUUUUAUCAGUGUGAGUGUUUUUCAGUCUUGGGCCCUUUUGAUAACCAAAUGCUCUUUCAUAUUGCUCAUUUAGGGAGUCACUGUCUUGAGGAGUGCAAGGUCAGAGGAAAAGCAGAAACUGUCAACCAGGCAGACGCAGGUCUGAUAAGGAUGAGAUCUAGAGACACACCAAGCACCAUACAACAGUCAGGAGACCACACAUUGCAUGUGAUUGGAUUUUGUGUUGUGGCGAGAGGACCUGCUCCUCCUCCACGCCAGUUUAGGGCCAAUAGGAAUGUUCACAUGUUCUUCCGGCCUGCGUGCCGACAGAACUGCUCCUGCCUUUGCAAACGCAGCGCCGAUACUUGACCUGUGAUCUGCCAAAUAAAUCUACCAGAACAAGAGAAGUUAUUUGGCUGAAUCCUUCCAGAUGUCCCCAACCGGGCUUCCACUUUUGAUCACGUUUGUUCGUUCUUUCUCUUUUUAAACGUAAAAGGUGCCCACAGCCUUUGAUUCACAGAGCGAAGCUGGACAUCAGCAGCAGUGGUACCCCUGGCCUGAUGGGGGCGCUGCUGAGUGCACGAGUCCUGAGCAAUACCCCUUCUGUCACCUCUGAGAGAGUAUUUAUCAUGUUUUUACAUUAAAGAGACAUGAGUUUCUUCUCUCUUUUAACAUCGGUUUUUAGUCUUUUAAUGUGGUUUUUACAAAAAGAUUUUUGGGAGCUGCCUACAAGAAAGAAGAAAAAGAAAAGUGGCAGCUCCUCAACUAUCUUUUGGGGGAAGCCAAAAUGGCAAUAUUUUUAAAUAGGAAAGCCAGAGUAAAAAACAGGGAGGGCCAGGCUCUGGCUACUUAGUAGACGUAGACGGUUUUAAACAACGUUGGUGUUUUAAUGAUGUUGUCAACAAUUAAUUGGUGUUUCCUCCAGUUUUUACGGGAUAAAUUCUGUAUUUUAUAAAAAACAGAAAGGCAACUUGUGAUUUUUAGCACAUCAGCACUUUGUUUGAAAUUGGAAAAAAUAUGAAUAUGUAAAAAGUGUUUUUUGAAAAAUCUCACAAUGCGCGGCUCGGUGAAGUCCGCUGCACGGACGAAGCACACGGUGGUCGUCUUCGUAGACAGCGUGGGGAAGGCGCACGUGGUGGUGCACGGGACGCUCGUGCCCGCUCUGCCUCUUGCCACCGGCUGUCAGGGUAACGGUAUCGAACAUUCCGCCUUACGGAUGAGGUUCUGCUGACUGUUUGAUACCUUUUUUUGCAUUGAAUCAUACUGGAGAAAAAAAAAAAAUCCACCAGCCGCCCCUGGCAAAAGACACAUACUUCAGACCUCACCAAAUCUGCAGCAUAUGUUUACAUUGAGUCCUCGAACAUACCCCAAUUUCUUCACAAUAUUUAAACACUAUGAGGCGUUGCAAUCAAUAGCUGAAUUAUUAGCAUUUCUUCUGUUUUUUUGAUUUAUGAACAAAGAUACUCCCCACGAGUUUAAACCCGAUCAAUUUCAAGUUAGGACAGUAUGAUCCUGACCCCUUUGCGGUUCAAUUUGGUUUGAUUUACUGGAAAAUUGAAAAUGUGACGCCAAGGUACAUUCUCAGUUCUGGCCAAAAUGUCAUAUUCGGGAUGCUAGUGUGGGCCUCAAAAGGGUUUCCAUGCAACAAUUGAUAGCGCCACCAUAGCAUUAUUUUUUAUUUUAUUCCUCGUGCACUGUCGUCCAUUGUCGUGCUGGCUGCUGUUACGCACCAAACGCCAAGUCAAAUUCCUUGUAUGUCUGACAUAUUAUGGCACUAAAUGUUUCCCGAUUCCUGACUGGCAAAGGGAAAUAAAACUAUCCCACUUUGUGUUCUACUGCUUGCCAUUUAACUAGAUCAACCUCAAUGAUGAUAGUUCAACAUGAUUGUUGGGAGGUUUUGAACACUUUGUUGCUAUGAGACAAGAUUAUUACAUUACAUUACAGGUCAUUUAGCAGACGCUUUUAUCCAAAGCGACUUACAUUACACUUUAAACCCAUGGCUUUUUCACAUUUUUGCCCGGGGAGCAAUUAGGGGUUAGGUGUCUUGCUCAGUGACACUUCAACAUGGAACAUGGGGCAGCCUGGAAUCAAACCACCAACCUUGUGCUUCCCAGCACACCUUCUAUAACCCCUGCGCCACGACGACCCCCGAUUAUCUGUAUAUCAUUAUAGUUUCAAUGUUAUUAGAAAUUAUAUGAAGCUUGUUGAUAUCUCAUUGUUUUAAGAACAUAUGGACCAAUCAAUGUCAAAGGCACGAAUAUUCAACUAAAAUGUAAAAAGGUCCAAUUAGAGAAAAUGUCUAAAAAGAAAUGUCCGCAAGAUCAUAAUGUAACUAUUUAGUGUGAUUAAAUAGAGGCAUGCAAAUAUAAAUAAUGUUCUCUGAAUAACUAAAUAAAAGUGCGGCUGCAUUUAAUAAAUUGUGCUUCAAUUAAAAGAAAAAAGACAGUAGAAGCAAAUGAUAAAUAAUACAUUAUAAUACAACAUUUUAACAAUUGAACACUGCCCCACAAGAGCUCUGGCUUGUCCUACCAGGAUUUUAAACUUGUGUGUGAAUGCAGUCAGGGUCAUUCUCCUCAUCGUCGGAACUUUUAAUAAGUGCUACGGUUUCUGCACAUAUGAGGCACACUGGUUUAGUGCUCCAGUGGGAAGUCUAAACUAAAACAAGUCCGUCCAUUCUCGAUUAGAUGCUCUAAUUUCACUGUCCACUUCCCACUUUUUGGAGAGCGCCAUCUGUUCCUUAUUUUUCUCACCCGUCCCUUUCUCUCGCCUUCUUUUUGUCACUCUUCUCUUUUUCUUCCUGCCGUGUUUUGAUUUGGAAUUUGCAUCUUAACCUGUCUGCACUUUGUACUGUAGGAGGAAGCCGGUGUACCCGGAGAGAACCCACACAGACACGGGGAGAACAUCCACACAGAAAGUCGAACCCAGGACCUGGGCCCGUAUCCCUAAAGAUUCUGAGAAUCCUCUCAGAGAGCUCCUAACUUAACCUAAAAAUUCCUUGCCAGGAGUUUUAGCUUAGAGGUGAUUCCAGAACAUUUUCAGUGAACUCUGAGAAAGGAAUGGAUGGAAAAUCCUAUCUUAGUGAGGAGGUGUGGUUGACCCCGUUGCUAGGUAUGAGUCAUCAUUUCAAAAGCCGUGAUUGGUUGAUCCUACAAGUUUGAUGAAAAUGAACUUUUGGUGAUAAUGAGCAAAGGACGUACCCUCAAAUCAAUAAACAUAAUUAUACACUCUAAUCUUAUGCAGACUGUAAUUGUAAAUAAUAUUUAACAUUCAAAAAAAUAUCUGGAAAAUGAAUAGUAAGCUGUAGGGUUUAUAGCAUAACAUUAGAAUCUAAAAUAUGUGAAAACUUAAGCUCAUUACACCCUGUUCAAAUAAUGAUUUGUGUCUUAUUUGCUCAUAUUAAUAUCCUAGCUGGCAUAUUUUGUACUUUCAUUCCCAUAUGGACCCCAUUGAAAACAAGAUGGCCUAUCUCAAGGGGCUGUCCUUAAUGAAGUAGAAAUUGCAACGUUACAACUCAGUGUGGUCUUAACAAGGGUAACACGGCUCAGUCAAUGUCUGUGAUUGCUGGCUGGUCUAUUUAUGAAGGCUUGUUAACAAAUAUCCUACAAACACAGAAAAUUGAGAAAAAAAGGAAUCGCAAGCCGAACUGGACUGAGGAGCAAGGUUUGUUGCUGGCCCAGUUGGUGAACGAACAUAAAGGUAUGUUACGAGGAAAAUUUGGCCCAACUGUCACCAGCCAAGGCAAGAGGCGCGCCUGGGACACAAUAUCCCAAACAAUCAAUGCCUCUUUUCCACCGGUGGUGCGGACAG
ensembl:lncRNA